UACGCAGGUCCCGAGCGUUGUCCGGAUUUAUUGGGCGUAAGGCGAGCGCAGGUGGUUUAUUAAGUCUGGUGUAAAAGGCAGUGGCUCAACCAUUGUAUGCAUUGGAAACUGGUAGACUUGAGUGCAGGAGAGGAGAGUGGAAUUCCAUGUGUAGCGGUGAAAUGCGUAGAUAUAUGGAGGAACACCGGUGGCGAAAGCGGCUCUCUGGCCUGUAACUGACACUGAGGCUCGAAAGCGUGGGGAGCAAACAGG
rnacentral:rRNA from 1 species